UUGCUGUGUCCAAAAUAUGUUGAUUCCCCUAUUCCUGGUGGAUUUCUUGAAGCAACCCCUGAAGAAAUUUCUUGGGUUAUUUCUGGAGGAAUUCCCCGAGAAGACCCUACAGAAAUUCCUGGAUGAAAUCCUGUAGGAAUGCCUGCAUGAAUUCCUGGAGAAGUCCCCGGAAGAAUUCGUGAAGCAAUUCCAGGAGAAACUUUUGGAAGAACUCCUGGGGAAUCCCUUGGACCAAUUAUUGGAAGAACAUCUGAAAAAAUUCCUGGAGACAUUUCUUCAUGAAUCCAAGUUACAAUCCUUGGAAAAACGCCUAGAAAAAAUCGUAGUGGAAUUCUUGGAGUAAUCCUUGAAGUAAUUCCUGGAGAAAUCUCUGGAGGAAUUCCUGCAGGAGUACCUGGAAAAACCCUUGGAGGAAUCCCUUGAAGAACUCCUGGAAAAAUUCCUAUGGGAAUUUCUUGGGAAAUUCCAGGCGGAAUUCUUGGAGGAAUCCCUGAAGCAUUUCCUGGAGGAAGUCCUGCAGGAUUGCAUGGAGAAAACCCUAGAGGAAUUCUAGAAGGGAUCCCUGGAGGAUAUCCUUGUGCAAUGCCUGUCAAGAAAUUUUCAGGGGAUCUCCUGGAAAAAUCCCUAGAGGAAUUUCUGGCGGAACUUCUAGAGGAAUCUAGAUGAAUUCCUGGAAGAAUUUUCAGGGAAAUCCCUUCAGGAAUUCCCAGAGGAAUUCCUGAAGAUAUUUCCGGAGGAAACUCAUAAGGAAUUCGUAGAAGAAUACCAGAAAUAAUUCCGGAAGAAAUCGCAGAUGGAGUUCUUGGAGAAAUUCUGAAGAAAUUCUUAGAAGACUUCGUGCAGGAAUCCCUCUAGCAGUUCCUGAAGAAAUCCCUUGAGGAAUUCCUGACGAAUCUUCUGAAGGAAUCCCGGAACCAAUUCCAAUAGAAAUUCCCAAGGGAAUCCCUAAACAGUUCUUUAAGGAAGUACUGAAAUAAUUCCUAGAGGAGUUCCUUGAAGAAUACAAGCAGGAGUUCCUGAAGGAAUCCUAAAAAGAGUUACUACGGGAAUUUUAAAAAUAAGUUGUUCCAGAAAAAAUCAUAGAAGGAAUUCCCGAGUGAAGCCUUGGAGAAAUUCCUGGAGAAGUUUCUGCAGGAUAUCCUAGAGGAAAGCGUGUAGAGAUUUUCGGAGGAAUCUCUGGAGAAACUCCUGGAGGAAUCUCUAGAAGAAUUCCUGGAAGAAUUUCUGGAGGGAUUCCUAGAGGAAUAUCUAGAGGCAUUUCUGAAGGAUUCCCUGGAGGUAUUUAAAGAAGAAUCCCUGCAACAAUACCCUGAGAAAUCACUGGAAGAAUUUCUAUAGAAUCCCUGAACAAAUUCGUGGAGGAAUCCCAGUAUGAGUUUUUGAAUAAAUUACAGAUAGAAUUUUUGGAGAAAUCCUGAUGUAAUUCUAAGAAAAAAGGAUGUACUCCUAGAGGAAUCCCUCUAGCAGCUCCUGAAGGAUUCCCUGCUGCAUUUGUUCCUGAAGAAACCCCAGGAGAAAUCCCGGAAGCAAUUUCGAGAGGCAUUCCUAACAGAAUUUUUAAAAAAGUUCCUGGAGAAAGCAAUGGAUUAAUUCCUGGAAAAGUUCCUGAAAGAAUUCCAAGAGAAACUCCUGAUGAAAUUCUUGAAGGAGUUUCUGGGGAAUUCUUGGAGGAAUUUUAUUAUAAUCCCUGGAGUUGUUCCUGAAAUUAUUACAGAAGAAAUAAUCCCAGGAUGAAUUCCUGAAGAAAUCCAGUGAAGAAUCCCGAAAGCAAUCCCAUGAGGAAUUACUUAGGAAACCCCAAGGAAGUUUUCUUAGCAAAUUCCUGUAUAAAUUUCUGUAGGAAUUCCUAGAAAAAAAUAUGAAGGAAUCCAUGUAUGCAAUAAUUUAUGAACGAAAUAUUGGGAUCCCAGAAGAAUGUUUUGUACAAUGUUUAAAGGAAUUCCUAAAUUAAUUUUGAGAUAAUCACUAGUUAAAUUUUCUGGAAGAUAUUCUAAAAGGGUUUCUGGAAGAUAUUCCAUAUGGUUGUCGCGAUGAACGUGAAGUUGAAACCGAAAAUACAAAAUUCUUGCAUUCUACAUAAUUUUGUGAAAAUUUUGUAGUUUCUAAGCACACACUUUUCACAAUCGUUUCGAAAAACUAUUCUCAUGUACAUGUGCUUCUUUUCAAGCAAUAAAACACAGAGGUUAUCGCAAUGAAUAACUUCUCUCAAACCGAAUAUAAAAAAUCUGUAUUAUACAUAAUUUUGUGAACAUUUUGUAGUUUCUAAGAAUCAUUUUUCUAUCUAUCGCUCUGGUAAAGUAUUCUUAAUGUACACAUAAUCAUUUCUCAAGCAAUCAAACACAGAGGUUGUUGCGACGACAGAGGUUGAAGUUCGAACUGAAAAUACAAAUUCCCUGUAUUAUACGGGAUUUUGUGAAGAUUUUGUAGUUCACACACUUUUCACAAUCUGUAUACGUACUUGUUUCCAAGCAAUAACACACAGGGGGUUGUCGCUAUGAAUGUAAAGUUCAUACCGAAUAUACAAAUUUUCUGUAUUAUACGUAAUUUUGUGAAGAUUUUAUAGUCUUAAAUAUUGAAUAUCUCCAUAUAUUUCUAAGCAACAAUUUUGCUUUAUUAAUAUUAGCAAUUUAACAUUAAAAUAUGUGUGGAAACUACUUUACAUUCGGAAUGGCUCCAGAAAAACAGCAUUUUUUAAGGUACUUGCUCCGAGUUUUUGAGUACUCAAAAAUAGAACUUUGAUCCAAUCCAUAGCAUGAAAAUUUUCUAGAAGGCUGGGAAAAUGCAUUGCUUCAAAAGCAAAUCGGAUGAAAAAUGGCUGAGAUAUUAGAAGUUGAAAAAUACCGUUCCCACUGUUUUGAGGCAUGGCAGUUGGUGUAAGUGAUUUAUGGCAUGGCAGUGGGAGUGUUAAGUAAUUAAUGGACGGCCCCUUAGAUAACAUCAUGUUAACCCGUUAUUCCAUAUUACCCCACCUGUUUCAUUCUGUCCCGGUGUAUCAUAAGCAAUUGUUUGUAAUUUAAUCUGCAUGUUAAAUCAGUCAGAGUCAUAGAUCAGAUCUGUUCAGAUAACAGCACUGCCUGUGGGUGCAUAAUUGCCCAUGAAAUACAAUAAUUGAUUAAAGUGAGUUCAAAUGCCACCAAAGCAGUGGGGAAUUAUUUAAGUUAACAAGAAAAAGGUUUGUUCAUGUAAUGUUUAGCCUCGUUCUAAGAGCCACUUAAACUAAACGUUGUUUCUUGUUAACUUAAACAUAUUUUAAUUAAACUACCAGUUCUCAAACUCUGCUCAAUCAAUCACUUUGCCAUUUGUUGAUGGCUAAACACACCCAUGGGCACAAUACACACAAGACCAAUUAAUCAUUCAAUAUUAAUCAAGACCGGCCCCUUCCGUGAAAUAUUGGUGCACUUGUGUUCCUCCGGGCGAGUAACCGCCUUGCCGCGCUGCGCCGGCUAGUUUGUUCGUUUAGCGACGACCAGCAAUGUUAUCAAUUGAAAAUAAUUAAUACCACUGAUAACAUCGUUGACCCCGCGGCGGGGCCGAACUGAACCGAGUGCGUUUCUUGGUUCGUUCAAUUCAAUUGGCAUUGCCUCGAGUUGCGCGAAGUUGCGUUUCCCAUUUCCAUUUCUGGGUAAGAUCAUUGCAAAACAAUCGCGCAAAGAUUGAUGGCCCCAUGGGCGAUUAAGCAGAUUCAAGUGAUGUCGCGUGUUUCCCAAGGGGAAGGGCAAGCCAUACGCACGUGGCUUAUCUAAUUACCUCACAUGGGGCAGUUUAUUUCUGUUGUUUACAAAUAAUGAUAAGAAGGUAUGCUUAUCAUGGAAAUUGAUAUGUAAUUGAUGAACGGUGUAAGAUUGCAAAUUUAGCUGAUUCACUGUUAAAUUCAUAUGGGUAUUAGUAUGGGACAAACAUCAAAUUCUCGCUCCAGUUGACUUUUUCGAUCCCAUUUAGGUCCCAUAUGAACUGUACAAAAUUUCAGCGCAAUCGGUGAAACUAUAAUUUAGCGCAAGCGGUUCAAAGUUUUCAUAGGAUUUACUAUGGGAAAAGUUACACUUUCAGAUAAAAAUUCCCAGAGGUCGCCCCUUGUCUCCUUAAUUCAAAUCGAUCAACGCUACUUGUAGAAAAAUCCUUUAUGAAACUUUCCUUCGAAGACCGCAAAACAAUUGGAUGCUUGUGGAAAAAGUUAUUGAUUUAUUACCGAUUAGUGAUUCAACUAACGGCUUUUUGUUUUGUUUUAUCAGCAGCACUGCUGCUGCCGUUGCUGCAUGGAGUGGCGGGUGGCAUCACCACCCCCAGAAACAGCAGCAGCCAAGGCAGCAGCUACAGUGCUGCUGAUAAAACAAAACGAAAAGCCGUUCGUCGGAUCACUAAUCGGUAAUAAAUCAAUAACUUUUUCCACACACAUCCAAUCGUUUUGUGGUCUUCGAAGGAAAGUUUCAUAAAUGAUUUUUCUACAAUAAGCAUUGAUUGAUUUGAAUUAACGAGACAAUGGGCGACCUCUGGGAUUUUUUGUUUGAAAGUGUAACUUUUCCCAUAGUAAAUCCUAUGAAAACUUUGAACCGCUUGCGCUAAAUUAUAGUUUCACCGAUUGCGCUGAAAUUUUGUACAGUUCAUAUGGGACCUAAAUGGGAUCUAAAAAGUCGACUGGAGCGAGGAUUUAUUUUUUCCAUACAAGCGUGUCCCAUACUAAUGGGUAUACUUAUCACCUAUUACGAACUGGAUAGUCAUGUCCCCUUUUCCAUGCCAAGCGGGGUGAAUAAAGUGAGUCAUCAUCCUCUUUCCACUUUCCGUUUCAUGAUGUAUUGCGUCACGUAGCCACAACUCUUCAACACAAUUUUCACUGCCAUUAUCAUCAUUCGUAAUCGAUGUGAAGCUACUAAACUUAGCCCACGCCUAACAACGAUGAUAGCUUGCUUAGGAAGGUACCUACGUAGUUCCUAUUUAGAUUCAUCUCAUUGCCACUAUCAUAUUUCCAUUCAUUGUUGUUCACAUUCCUUCCGUCGUCUGUCCGUUCAUCCUCACCUCAUUCAACCCCUUCCCCGGUUGUGCAUUUUAUUCGUGCGCUCGAUGAAAUAAAAGAAUUCCACUUUCCUGGAAAACGAUUACGGUCGAGUUUGCGAGGUCAUUGAAAUGAGGAGUAGUAGGACUACUUCGCCUCGAUUUGCGGCUCAAGGAUCCACCUCUAUGACGCCUGUUGGAAAAUAGUAUGCCUUUAGAUGGACGAGCAGAAUACGAGCCUUUUAAAGUUUGUACGUCAAUUGUGGAAUAUGAGUGUUACCGUUGACACAAAAAGUACCUACUGUUAUAUAGGUGCCGUAUAAAUGCACCUAUUAUUAUUUCUGUUAUACCAAGAUUGUCUUAUUUUUACCCUUCUUCUUGGCGUUCGUCACUGUUGGAACUAGCAGCAAUUCUCUUAUUCUUUGAAUAAAUGAGCGGUAGUCACUAAAUUUCAGUUUUGAAAUUCUGGUCUUUUUCGAGGUACGAUUGCUCAACUAUUACAGGCCUAUUUCAAAGCAGAGUUGCAUUCUGUAACUACCCAAGGAACAAUUCAAAGUAAUUAAUAAGCAUACAUGUCGAACUAUUGUUGGUUUAUAACAUCCGCAGCUGAACAAAACCAAAUGCUGAAUAAUAAGCCGAUAUGAUGCUAUUUACAUUGUAAAUAAGCCAAAAUGCAACAUUUGGCACGUAUGUGAACAGCAUAUUUAAUUAUAAGCUUAACAAACGUCAGCAAUUUUUGUUUGUUCGAUUUGCCAUUACUAGCUUUAAUAUAAGCUGAAGAAGAACUUUUUUCUACGCGUUAAAAGCUUAUGUUCCACAGUUUCCGCUAGCUGAUUAUUGUGGUCUACAUAAGUUGAAAAAAUGCCUGCGAUGUUAAUACUACAGCUAUUGUGGGAACGUCCAAUAAUGGCUUAACAGUAAGCUAUUUAAAAGAGUUUAUGAUUUAUUUGUUCGAUUAUCACUUUUCGAUUGAACAACAGGUCAAAGUGAUUAUAAUAGAGCAGUAUUGGAACGUUCCUCAAUAUUAAAUAUGUAUAGAUGUUUGUUGCACUCCAAUGCAAAAUAUUCGAAACAUUUGCUAAUUUUCGUAGCAAUUUCAAAGUUGCAGUCAUCUUCACAACUUUUUUAAAAUAAAUAUUUACAACCUUCCAUAAAUCUGAAUAUUGAUCUUUCACAGCAUUGCGAAGAUGUUACACUUUCAGCGAGCAACUUACCAAUUCCAGGAUGGCGUAGUCGGCAAGACAUGCGACGGGUGAUUGGGAGAUCACGAGUUCAAAUCCCAAGUUGAGAAAUUUAUAGAAGAGCUUGUGUGUUAUAAAUGCGAUGAGAUGCGACAAAUAAACAUGAUUACACCUCGCAUUUCAAUUUGUUUUUUGUUUUCGCAGCAGGUUAUUAUAGCUGAAUACAAGUUUAAUAUGAGGCUGGUAUAACACAGAUUACUUCCGACUGUAAAGUCUGUAUCGCGCUUGCAGAAAAUAUUGCUGAAUAACUUCUCCAUUUUUAUUUGAACAACGCCUUAUUACAAGCUGUGAUGAAAUAAUGUUAAACUGUAAUUCAAUCAAAUGUGGAAUAAAAAUGUCAUUGCAAUGCUGGUUGAAUGAGUGAAUGUUCCUUGGGAUUGUAGAUGAAUCACCGAUUUUGAUACUAGGCUGGCUGCGAUCCAAGUCGCAUAGUGGCUGAACAAAAGGCAGCCAAUACAUCUUACUCAAAACCAUAAAAAACCUAUGAAAAUCACGAAAACUAUCGCAAGUUUUCGCAAAGUAAAUCAUACACCAAUCGAAAACACUGAUCUUAGGCCUACAAAAUCACACAACCACAUCGCUGUCGUUCGCAUCGUACUAUGGUUUUAGAUCAAUUUUGACUGAAAAACGGGAAUCAAUCUGAAAUUUUGGAUUUUGACAGUUGAAAUAUUUAGAAUGCUGACAAAAAUAUCACAUCUACGUGAAAAGCAUUUUCAUUUUUUUAGGUUUUGACCAUCCUCGCACCACUGUGCAGCGUGUGCUCUGUUGAGCCGAUUGAGCCACCGUCACCCAAGAAGCAAUUGGGUUGUUUAGUGAAUAUAAUAUUACUAUUUUCUAUAGCCUAAUCAAAAGAGCUCAUUUUUCUGAAUAUAACGUGAUUUUAUUGGAUUUCAAUACCUUUGUUUUGAUGGUUAAAUUAUCAAAACAGUUUUUAUUUUCGUGGAUAGAAUCAGUUCAAUCGAUAAAAUGACAGUUCGACCCGAACAAAAAAUUUCCUCAUACAAACUUUAAAUGCAUAUUAAAAAUAGUUCCCGGACUCCAAAAAUUAUGAAAUUUUGGAUUUCGACUAAUUUUUGAGGCGGACAAUCCAAUUAUGGAAUAAUCCGGAUACCUCUAAAGAACCUAAUUAUUACUUUAAGAAAUGCUUCUCGAAGCAGCGUUAUUAAGCUGCAAGCUGAAGAAUAUUUGAUUUACUUUAAUUGAAAUUAUACUUCAACUCUUGUUCGCCCAGAAAUGGGAAUCUAUUCAACCGGUCUAUAAGCUUAGGAAAUUUAUGUUUAUUCAAUGAUCGUACUGCGGUUGUGCAGCUAUGGUACAACGUUUAAACCAUCAGCAUAUUAGAAACUCUUUUUCAACGUUUUUUCAACUAAGUUGUAUGAUGCUUUGUUGUUUAAAUGCCUAUGAAAUGUCUAAGAAACAAUUAUAGCAAAUUAACAGCUAGAUUUAUGAUAAAACCCAUGCUACGACAAUUAUUCCACUCUAAUACAAUAAAACAUGUUGAACAAAGUUUUACUGAAGUUUCGAUAUCACCAGAUCUGAUUGAGCAGAGGUCACCCAGAAAGUUUCUUAAACGUUUCUUCAAUGGGAUUGUAUCGAUAAAUUUGCAAAAGUGAACUAACUUUUUUUAAUUUUUUUCGUUUGUUUGCAAACUGAAAUGUCUCUUUUCCUACAACACCAUAUUUCAAUCACUUUUUUUUUAAACAAACAACAUUGACAAGAUUCGAAGUCGGGACCUAUUGAUUAAUAGUCGUCUGCAUCCGCACUGCUCCGCACUUGUGAAUACUUGGCAUGGUAGUUUCAUUUACAAACCAUGUAAAAUAAGGACAAAUAAAAGCAAUAGUGAUUGCAUCAGAUCGGAAAGACGAAGUAUAUUUUUUAAAGAUUAUACUAAUAUCUAUUGAUGUGCUUGCAUUUUUUUUUUUAAGAGGUUUUACCGCAAUGCGGCAUUCGUCUCUAAAAACUUGCAAUUAUGAAAACGUUAAGCGACAGUAUUAUAACCUCCCCUUCUUUGAAAAACUAGGAGUGGGUAAUGUCUGAGACAUAACCGCAAUGUUGACGUAGGACAAAGGCUGGAACGAGAUUCCGACUUUUAUAUUUCCAUAAUACAAUGUUUGUUGUUAUGAUAAUACAAAUGGUGGACUGAUGUGUUGAGUAAAGUUGUUGUGUGAUCGCUUUCGCUGAACGCAUUCACAACCCAACACACAUUUUUGCUGUAUAAGAGUAAAACAAAUCACUCUUAAGCUAACUUUAGCUCAAGAAGCUGUUAUUCAGCUGGUUCGGUUACUUGGAAAGAUGUUGACUAGUUCAAGAGUUAUUUCGUUUUGAAGAGAAAUGGUUAAAUUACUGUUCUAUGAGAGAAUUUUCAUCGAGCGCAUAAAAUAGGGUCCUAAAAUGAAAAAUAUUUUCCCGGUUUUAGUGCAUUACACGAAAGAGCAUGCUUUUCUGAUCUCAAUGGUAAUUUUUCCGAACUUGAACAAUAACAGAAUAGUUAAUAAACUCGAAAAUAAAAUAAUGAUGAACAGAACUUGUUUGACAUUCGAGGCCAACCUUGACGUAACGAAAGUGAAACGGCGGGUUGGGGCUUGUUCACAAAUGUCAUAACGCUGAAGGGGGUGGGUGGGUGUCCUUCAUGGUAUUACAGCUCGAACAAAAAUAUUUUUUUCCCAUACAAACAGUGUAACGAGGGGGUGGGUGGGUAUCAAAAAAGGCCAACUUUGGCGUUAUGACAUUUGUGAAUGAACCCUUGCAAAAGACACCACAUUGGCUCACUUUUGACAAUAAAUGUUCCUGUUUGACAUACACGGUAAACAAAAUUUACCCAAAAUUGAGUGCUAAACAAGGAGUGUUGCAAAAAUUAUUGAUUUUUUUGAAAAUAUAUUUUAUGGGCUUUUCCUAAUAGGAAUACUUAAGAAAUGAGUAAACAUGUCGUUUUAAUCAAUGCUUGAUCGAAUCAUGCAAAAAUUGAGAUAGGCCUUUAGGAGCCUAUUAUUAGAUAAUUGAACGGCGUUAGAUAGAUCUUUUCAACGAAAGUUUAACGUGAAACUCUUUCGACAAUACGUUGUUUUCAUCCAGGAAGAACAUAUUAGUAGCCACUUCACUAUUGCUGAACUACCAAGCUUUCAAUCUGUCGCUUUUAAUUAUCCGAAUCAUAACUCUUGAGGAAUCAUUUUCGCUGAUCCUGGAAAAGACCGUUUAUAAAACGGAAGAUAUUGGCAAGACAAUUGCAUGAAUUCAUCACGCAAUGCGAUUUUACCCAUACUGAAUGCGGCCGUUUGCUGUCGUGCAUGAGAUUCCUAAUGCUGCCACCACGAUAGCCGAGAGUCAUCGCUGAGUUUGUGUGCUGCUGCCUAGCUGGGAGGUGGCAUCUCCACUCUCCUUGACUGAUCCAUGGAAAAUGACGAAAGUUGUCUGAGGAAACAGCUUUUAUGCCCCUAGAUUAGCAGAUGAAGCUCCUCCCAUUCGGCGGGCUUCCCAGUUUAUUCCGUUUGCAUGACCCGCCCACAUUGUGUCAGACGCUUCAAACUACUGCAACCGUUCUUUGAGACAAUUUCGAAUCGAACGGAUAAACUAAUCAAAGUAUUGAAAAAUUAAGAUCAUUUUAAUUCGAUAAAUAUUAGAAUGAAACAAUGUUUCAGGUACAAUUCUCCGAAUAAGAUAACGCGUUGCUAAAUUUCGGGUAGAAAGAUUAGUGAUCGAUUUUGCUGUUUCUGAGCCACCAAGCAUUCAACCAUUCACUUUUCGAAUGCACUACACUUUUACCGAUCGUUGAAAUAUAUCCGAAAAUUAUCCGAUUCAUAACUCUUAAGGAAUAAUUUUCUCUGGUCCUGAAAAGGUCCGUUCAAAUAACGGUUGAUUUUAGAAAGACAAUUGAAAAUUAUCCACACUGAAUGCGGGAAGCCAUCGAAAACUGCCGCCGCCUGCUGCCGUGAAUGAGAUUCCUGGUUCUAUCAGAUAGAUAGCCGAGAGCCCUCGCUGGGUUGGUGCGCAGCUACCCAGUUGCGGAGGUAACUUCCAUUGCCGGGCCCACCGCAGCCGUGAUCAGUGGAUGAGAUUCCUGGUGCUAUCACUCGUCGCAGUUGACGUGCUGCUGCGCAGCCGUGGACGUGAUAUUCACCUCCACCCUCCCUGACUGAUCCAAUGAAAAUGACGAAAGAAAUCAGAGGAAACAGCUUUUAUGCCCCUAGAUUAGCAGAUGAAGCUCCUCCCAUUCGGCUGGCUUUCCAGUUUGUUUCGAUUGCAUGACCCGCCCCGCAUGCUUCGGACGCUUCAAAUGAUUUUCAACCAAGAAAUGAGAGAAAAUUUCAUUUAACAAAAUAAAGUAACCAAAAUAUAAAAAGAUUUAGAUCAUUUUAAUUCGAAAAAUGCUAGAAUCAAACAAGGGAUCGUCCUUAAAUUAAGGCACACAAAAAUUAGUCAUUUUCAACCCCUCCUCAUCCCUAUGUCACACUUUUUGUAUGGGACCUCUGAAAUUUUUGUAUGGGUUGUCACACUUUGCUGACCCACCUCCCCCCCCUUUAAACGUGACGUAAUUUCUGGACGCUCCCCAGUGUUUCACGAAAAAUGGUUCUGAUAGGACAAUGCGUUGCUAAAUUCUGGGUGGACCGAUUAGUGACCGGAAUUCAAUUUUUGAUUUUUCGAUUGAACCACAUUUUUCUCGAUUGAUGGAAUGAAAUUAUCUGAUUUACAACUCUUGAGGAAUUAUUUUCGGUGGUCCUGAAAAGGACCGUUUGAUUAAUUGACGAUUUUAGGAACGAAAUGGCAUGAAAACAUCAUGUCUCGCAAUGCGUGUUGGUUUUCUCCUUAAUGCUAAAUACAGGAUGCCACCGAAAACUGGUACGCCGCUUUCUGCCAUGGAUGAGAUUCCUGGUGCUAUCCGCACGAUAGCCGAGAGUUGCGGCUGGGUUGAUGUGCCACUGCUCAGCUGUGGAGGUGACAUCCACCCUGCUUGACUGAUCCAACGAAAAUGACGAAAGAAAUCAGGGGGAACAGCUUUUAUGUCCAUAGAUUAGCAGAUGAAGCUCCUCCCAUUUGACUGGAUUCCAGGUUAUUUCGAUUACAUGCCCCGCCCCGCAUGCACCAGACGCUUGAAACGGUUAAUCAACCGAGAAAUGGGAAAAUUUUCAUUUAACGAAUAAAGUAACCAAAAUAUUGGAAGAUUUGGAUAAUUUAAAUUCGAAAAAUGGUUAAAUCAAACAAUGUUUCACGAAAAAUGGUCUGGGUAUGAUAAAACGUUGCUAAAUUCCUGGUGGAAUCAUUAGUGGCCGGCAUAAUUAUUGUUGCGGGGCAACCAAACAUACAGUUUUUCACUUUUCGGUUGCACCACACUUCUACCGAGCGAUGGAAUUAAAUAAUUAUCUGAUUCACAACUCUUGAGGAAUAAUUUUCUAUGGUUCUGAAAAGAACCGUUUGAAUAUUGGACGAUUUCAGACAGAAAAUUGACAUGAAUUUAUCAUGCCACGCAAUGCGUGUUGGAUUUCUCCGUGCUGUUUGCUGGAAGCCGUCGAAAAUUGGCCCGCCGCUUGCUGCCGUGGGUGCGAUUCCGGAUUUUGCUGCUGCCUCUGCCACCACCGCCGAACAAUCGAUGAAAGUAUUCCUUCCUUGGUCUGUUGCGACGGUUAGACGGUUAGAAGGCGAAUGUACAACAGCACCCUUGCCGACAACCACCGCACCGACACCGAGCCGACACGGCCGUCAAAGAAGAAUGAGCGAAAACGCAAACAAAGAAAGUGAACAGCUCUCGUUCGAUGCGUUCACCUCGAGACGACAAAGACAAAUGAGGGAAGAUGCGAAGAAGCAGUAGCUUUUAUAUUCGACGGGAGCAUCCAAAAUGUGCUCGAUCGUGAUUGGCUGGAAUAAACAUGGGUUCACUUUUCCCAAUUUUUCAAUAGUUUGUUAUUGAAAAUCAGCAAAUGUUAAUAUUGGACAUAAUUGGUGUAAAGAUUUCCAAUCAAUUGGAGCCAAAAUUUUGAAAAUUCAACGAGAAACGGCUGAGUUAUUAACGCUCAAAAUCUCCACUUCAAACGUAACGCGGCCGAUUUCUGAAAAUUAAGAAUGACACCCGGUAUAGAAAAGAGAGACGUAGUCCUACGUCAAAACCGUCACCAACCCUUAAUGAUAAAUAUUCUUGGUCAGAAGAAAAAUCAAGAGCAGGAUAUUUGGCAUAAGGCCGUUUAGCAUAUUAUAGACAUUUGACAUAAUCGAAUGAUUAUGCUAAAUAUUGCUACGAGACCUUAUUCCAAAUAACACAAACCCGAAAAAAAGGACUAUGAUUGGAAACUCGGUAUCUGGAACGUUACGACCUUAAAUGAACAUGGACGAGUGAGCCUUUUGCCUCGUGAAUUGUAGACGCUUGGUGUGUGCGUGGCUGCCAUUCAAGUAUUGCGGGGACCUGGUUACUGGUAGAAUACAUAGUAGAAGCCAUUAGAGGACUGAAGAACAACAAGGCCACUGGGAAAGACGAAUUCACGCCCGAGCUUCUCAAGCACGGGCUCAAGGGUAUCCCUGAGAAAAUCAUCGGCCUCAUUGAAGCACAGUACAGGGCAUUUUCGUGCAAAGUACUGCACAACGGUGUUUUGUCCGAUCCCAUCCGGGUCGUUGCUGGAGUGAGGCAAGCAGGGUUGUUGGCCAUCAGCAUAAUGACAUUAUAUUCAGUGACGAUGAACAUUUUAUUUCUAUCUUCGUCACAAACAAAACAUCGCUUGACGGUUUAUUCAUGAACACAGUCACCUUCUAGGUACGUAGUGAAAAAAAAUAUUCGAGUACAUCGUCGCUCUCUUACUUCUGUCAGUUGCUCGAAAGAGAUCCACAACUGAACCAUUUCAUCAGUUGUCAUGUUUUGCUUGACGAAAAAAUAAUAAAUUUAGUCGAGCAUUUUUGUUCAUUCGAUACUCGAUGAAUACGCAUUCUGCUUAAUUUUCAUGGCCUUUACUCUAAAUUAGGAGAACACCCGCUUUGAGGCUUAGAGCAUAGAUCUAUUAAGGAUGGUUUGAUAUUAAUUGCGCAUGAAAACCUAUCACUAGAAUCAAAUGUUAUGCUGUUAUCGAAGCAAGCAGUGCUGAUCGCGUUCUAACCAGUAGGCUUAGUAGGCUAGCCAGGACGAAAGUUUUCAAGUUGUCAUUAUUCCUCAAGAACUUGAAACGUUACCCGGUCAUCCUAUACAGCGGCCGUUCGCUCGUUGCAAAAUGUUUACUUUGCAACGAGCGAAUGCCAUUCGCUAAUUGCAACGUCACUUUGACACUAAAGUGCAUCGAAAUGCACUGACAGCAUGACUGACAGCACGAAUUUGACACUUGAUUGCUUUUUAAUUGCAAAAACUUGUCAAAUUUUGCAAUUAGCGGACUUGCAACUAAAAAGCGUUGCAACGAGCGGGUUUGCAACGAGCGAACGGACGCUGUACCUUCAUUCAAGAAAUGAAAGUUUCAUUUAAUAAUCAAAACUAAGUAUUAUUUUCACGGUUUUCAAUAUUCAAGUGUAAGGACUAUGUGCUGUUCUUGCGUAUUGGUUGAAAUUCUCAGGUUGGAAAUAUUACAAGAAACACCUGACAGAGCUGAAGAAAAUCUAAAUAAGGCUGAGUAUACGCCACACUACUAAUUUAUAAAACGAAAAAUUCGGAUUGGUAAAACAUAUAUGCAUUGUACUUUUCCUCUUUUUUAGAACAAAGGGAAAAACCAUAUGUACCUAAGUAGGACCACAUUGCUUGCCGUGAAUAAUGAAGAUACUGACACUGAACAACAUAACGCAAAGGGCUCAUCAUCAUUUACCAUUUUUACAAAGGCUCCACUUGGCGGUUUACCAACUCAACUUAUCGUAGAGAGUAACAAACACAACUUCAUUUGUGAAGAUUAACUAGGGCGUUUUCCGCUGUAGAACCGGAAGUAUGGCCGGCUUAUAUAUAUAAAAACAAGUUCAAGAAAAAUAACCGAAUUCAGUUUAACAAGUACGCCUCCUACGCUACACCGAGUCCAUAGAAAUUGCCUUCCAGUCGUAGAGAUGGUGCAGAAUUUUGUCGAAGACAUCACCGUUCAAUUUUAUGAGCAGGAUAUUCUGCAAGACUUCAUCAGAGAGUCCACAUCGAAGAUCAGAAAAUACUAGAUUUAAAGCGCUAAACGCCCUUUCUACCGACACUUGGGUUGAGGGAGCCGCUAGUAUAACCAUCGCCAACUCAUAGAGCUCUGGAUGUGUGCUCUUACGUGCUCUCCAGUGGUUCCAAGGAUCAUAGUUGAAUGGCUGUCGGGGUUCUGCUUCCAACUGUCGUAGCUGCUUAUGGAAUGAAGAUGUUUCGCAUGCAAAUGAUGACGACCCUCCAAACAUCUCAGUGAUGAAACUGUCCAUGUCGUCCUGACUUGCUGAUUGAUCCAAAGAUGCAGAGGAAGUUUGGUCAGCUGACGAACCACCUCCUGAUGUAGAAGGGACAGCCUCCUUGAUUGAUUUCAGUCGAAGCCAUAGGGUUUUGAGAAAGUUCUGAAAUAAAAGUACAAUGAAUUGAGUAUUUUUUCUCGAUUUCCUGGAAGAUUCUAAUACGAAAGGUAAUUUCAUUUACACACCUGCACUGAUUCUUUUUCAUCUCCUGUCGUGAAAACCGUUGAUCCGGGGAAGUUUAGUCGUGGGUCCAUGUAUAUUGAUGCUUUGAAGCCAAUGCUUUCAGUUAGCUUCUUAAGCCGAUCCUUCAAUGCUUGUGAUAACGGCUUCGAAUAUGGACUGUCAAUUUUUUCGACAUCGUAAAUUGUUCUUAACCAUUGCAAGUAAAACUCGUUCAACGGAACGUGCUUUUUUUGCAAUGUUUUUGUCAGCUCGUAAACUGGUUCGAAGGCGUUAACGAAAUUUUUCAAAAAUAACCAGUCAGCAUCCGAUAGCUCUGAGGAGAAAAAAAUGUUAUUUAGUUUAUAGGCUUAUAGGCUCAUCAUGAAAAAAAUACAACCAGAAAAGACCCACUACAGGUCAAGAAUGGAACCCUUAAUAUGAAACUGCUGCUAUACUCACCAAGCUCUUUGUACUGCUGGCCCAGUUUGCGGUAAAAUACUUCUUGCUUGACGAUGGAAUUACACAUUUUGUAUUUUCCAUUCCAGCGAGUGACACCCCACAAUGGAGCUGUUGUUGCCUUCAUGUGUUCAAAGAACAAACUGUAUUUAACUUUUCGGGAAUCUUUUACAAAUUCGGUGAUUUUCUUCACAUCUGCAUCAUUCUUUUUGACCACAUCACCAACAGCCAGCUGUACGGUGUGAGCUGCACAUCGAACAAGAUUCAGAUGAGAGCCAAUUUCUUGGCUUACAGAUUCCAGGAACACGUCAGUGUCUUCGGAUUCCGGCACUUCUGGGUUAGCUUCGAUAGCUUCGAUUUCUGCCAGUUUCUGCAAUUGCUUAAUAGCAGAAAUCAUAUUUGCACCAUUGUCCGAGGUAGCAGAAUAGAUUUGAGAGAUGUCCACUUCAAAGGCCUGCAGCGUUUCGAGGAUUAUUUCCUUGAGGAAUUUUCCUGUUUGUCCCUCCUUGACUUCGAGCACGGCUAAAAGUAGGUUAGGGGUGGUGGGGGUAAAGUGGACAACCUAAGCAUUUUGGUCGUUUCCCGCGGAAAUGCGGCAAAAUCCAUCUGCUUUUCCGAGUAACAUGGAAGGUAAUGAUAUACUCUAAAAAUCUUGUAAGGGGUUGCCUUCAAAAAAUAUUGUUUUCUUUAAUUAUUUUCUUCACCAAAUCGUGCAUCAAAAUAGCGUGAAAAAAAUUGGUGGGGGUAAAAUGGACAAUCGAUGGGGUAAAAUGAACAAGUCGUUAAAAGUUAUAUAACAGCAUAUUGUUUCUAUGUUUUUAAAAACAAACUAUCAAAUUUCAUACGAUACCUCUAUUUUGUUGUUUUCAAACUUUUAAUACAAACUUUGAAACACACUUAAAUAAUUAUUGUAAAAAUAGUGUAGAAAACAACUAGGGGCAAGACACUGUGAAAUCCGGAGCAACUCUGAACAAUCCUGAGUAACUCUUUUUGGUCGAAUCCAUUCAGAAACGUCUCUACGAAGCGGGAAAUCAGGCAAGACUGCUCGAUUUUUCACUCGUAUCAGGCAACACUUCGGGAUAACCAGAGUGAUCCAGAGCAAUCCAGAGAAAUUCUGAGCAACACUUCGAUAACAGAGUUACUCUCGCUGUAUCUGUCUUGCCCCUAGGAAAACAAGCACUGUUUUGGAUGAAAAUUAUAUUUUGUUGAUAUGAAAUUUUUUUUUAUAACUUUUUACUUCAACUAUCUCACGAUAGGUAUGACGGCUAAUGAUUCUGAAGUUUGCAAAAAAAUAUAUGAAAUUUUGGUGAAAUUUGAACCGAUUGUCCAUUUUACCCCCACCGGUCUGAUUUUGUUAAAAUUAUUCCCAAAACAUUUUUUUUUACAAAACUUAUUUUUUUUCGGUCAAAUAUAUUCAUCUACGUGGGCUCUAUUGGUAUAGGGUGUAAAACUUGUUAUAAUUUGAAAAUAACUUACGAGAAAACCUUAGCAAUUAUAAGCAAAUUUUACAUCAUUUCCGAUUUUUCACGUGAUUUUUAAAGUUUUUGUCAUCUUGAAGAGGUUUAUUUGAUUUCAGUGGUCAAGAUCAGCAAAAGUAUAAUGAUUCAUGCUUAGGCAUAAGCUUCAAUCGUUGAAACAUUUUGAAAAACAAUAAAAGCCAUGAAACUGUACCCUGUCCAUUUUACCCCACCUGUCCACUUUACCCCACCACCCCUACAGUGAAAAACACCGACGUUAUUGUGGAUUUAUCGGCUACUUGUAUUCUACCGGUUACUUAGGUAGCCAUUACAAAGAAGCCGUUUUCAUAUAAAAAUCAACUUGAUUGUCAAAAAAUGAAUGUCGCUGAGUAGCUACUGGCAACGAAGAAUAGCGCAUACAAUAAAAAUGUUAAAAAUCAUUUUUAUAUUAUUCUUUUUAUAAAACGGCUACUUUGGAGGCCAUACUGAAGCGACCGGUAGAAUACAAGUAGCCGGGAAAUCCACAAUAUUUUUGUUUGAAAAGAAAGGCGGUGGAAAUAAUACAGGGAUGUUCAGUUUGUUUAUUGAUGAUAGGUACUUACCAAGCGUUCGAAUUACAAUUUCUCCUCCUUUCUCGUACUGUGCUUGGAUGCACACUAUGUGGCGGUUAUGUUUUGAUGCAGAAUCAAUCAUGAUCGAGAUCAUUUUUCCGCGCAUCUCUUCUUUAAUCGCCUCCUUGAUUUUAUGGGCUGCAGCGGUUAGGUGGUCUUUGAUGCUGUGCCGGUUUAUACCGAAUUUGAGAGCAUCAGUGAGAGGGUUCAAAAUCAAUCGGAAACCUUCCCACUCGAAGCAGUAGAGGGGGAGAUGAUGCUGUGUGACCAACUUGAUGCAGCCCUGUAGUAGAAUCGUUUUGUCGAUGGCAACCAGAACCUUCGGAACAAUGCGACUUUUUUUCUCCGGUACUUCGGUUUUUCCAAUAAGCUGCAGCCGAGCAGCGGCUUCCGGAUGUUUCGUUCGGAAAUGUCUCAGGAAAUUCCCGAUGUCCAGCCGCUCCUGACGAUACACGCAUCCGCUCAUCGGAUCUAUCAUGCAUCGAUGAGUGCUUUCCUCGACACGCAUGCAUUCCAACGCACGGGUGCUGAAAUUAUCUUUCCGUUUUUCACUACUUUCGGCCAUUUCCACAAAAUUGAAUCACACGCGUCGGGAAAACAAACAAAACUGAUGAUGGUGCUAAGACGACGACGACGGCGGCGGAGACAAACGUCAAACUUGGUGAUAGUAUUGAGAGAGAAUGAACCACCUGACAAGUUUUUCAAGUAGAUUCAUUCAACGCUUGAUGGUUUUUAUUAUUUUUUUGUCCUCGCAUACAAACACAAAGAGAAUAGAGGGCAAACAAUAAGAGAGCAUUCUAGUUUCAUCGACAUACGUCGCUCUUUCGUCGUCACUGAUGAAUGACGCAUCGAAAUGAAGAUUUUUUUGAGGUGAAGAUUUAUUUUUGGUUUUCGUCAACCGUCACUGACGAAAAAGAUGGUUACCAACUCUGGUCACGAUAAAUUGUUUCCUGGUGUUAAUGACCGCUGUAAAUGUAUUGCGAGCGAAUAACGGUGUAUCUUUACCAUUGGAUGCAGAUUAUAAAUUUUUUUCUUUAUUAUGUCGAUGCGUAAUUUGCCUUAGAGCACUUUGAGAAAUGCCUAACUACUCUUCAAAUUGUAUAUUACAGUACACUGAAAUCUCUUUUUGUACUCAAGGUGUAUACAUUAAAAUGUGCAUAAACUUUUGACGAUCUUGCAACUAAUGCGACGCCCAGAGUUUUUCAGCUGUGGGUGUAUUUUGGGAUGGUGUUUCGACUAAUCGAUUUGUGUACGCGCUGUUUCCUUUGUCGUGAAUAUUAGGCCGUCCCUUAAAUCUUUUGCAAAAAGAGGAAAUGAUGAAUAUUAGUUAUUUGAAAAUGAUCUUUUUAGCUAAAAAAAUGAUCGUGUCUGUAUCUCAAAGCUGAGUGGUAUGUAACAAGUGUCAGUGUAACGUCCAGUAUUGAUGAGAUUUGUCGCGUGUAGUAUUCGUUGAAUUUUGUAUUAAAAAAAAGAAAACGUUUGUAGUUAGGUUAAGUGUAACGUCCCAAAAAUCCCACGAACGCAGCCAUCACUGCACUGCCCUAUACAAGGACGACGGUAGUUCUGCUAGCCACCACCAGGCUGCACAGGACUGCACGAAUAGGCGGCCAUGGGGGUGGCGAAAUGGGCGGCCAUGGGAGGCGAACUGGGUGGCCAUGAUGAGGAGGAUCUUCGGCACUUACGACGGGUCAAUGGCCAAUGGUUCGGGGUCAACGAUCUUCAAAACGGAGGAUCAUUAGCCUGGUGAUCUUCAGAGACAACAGUCGUUUGAAAAGUUGGUAGAAGGAAAGUUUGUUGAAGAAAAGUAAAGUUGGAAGGAAGCUUAGUUGGAGAAGUUAAUAGAAAGAAUUGAAAGCACGGAAAAGUGGAAAGAAGGAGAAAAGGAAAGUGGAGAAGUUGGAGCAAUCCGGACAUCCAGGUAAAUUCCGUAACAAUACCCCGAACCUAGCCCAUCCGUAUAGUGCUUAACCCGCCAUCGCGAUUCUCCCAUUGUGCCCACAGGACCUCGCGGUUUUUAUUUUAAAACCGAACUUUGCGGUAUCUUUUGGAGCCACACCGCAGCGUAGUCCCUACUCACCUUUUUGUAGUGCGUCCGCAUCACCCCUGUACCCGAUACAACCACCAAACGCGCCGACGAACCCAGGCUUUUUCCAGUGACUCUACGGAUCACUGAAGCCUCGAGUCCGUCAACACACUCGAGGGGCGCACGGGACAGGAGGAAGGUCCGCGAGAGGCUGCAGCCAUCGAGAAAGAGGAAAGGAGAAGAAUUGCCCGCCCCCUGGCCCAGGAAGGAGGAGUGAAGCCAGUGGACAGGCGAAAGGAGCGGAGCGAAGGCGUUGCAGUGCGCGGGGCCCCAAAGAAGUGAGAACGAAGUGCGAAUAAGGUAGGAGUAGAGAAGUAAGAAAGUGGGAGGCGUCGUCCGGUGUUAAGGGCGGACGCCAGAAAGCUAGGAGGGAGAUAGCUAGAGGAAAGUGGUAGGAGAGUAGGACGUCAAGAAGGAAGUGAAAUAAAAGUGUACACGAGACCAAGAAUAUAGAGGGAGUUUCUUUAGCCGAUCUAUAAGUGUUUUCUUUCGCGGAGUGUCACGAGCGUCUUGCCGACCCUGAGGCUUGAAGACGGGGGUUUCAUCCUUGCUGGGAGUAACACGGCUCUUGCUCAGUUACAGGUAGCUGAAAGGAACAUAAACUUCUAAAAAAUUGUUUAAAAGCAAAAAAACAUGAAUAUUUUGUGAGGAAAAAUACUAGAUUCUAUUAAAACUAACGAUUAUAGGACCCUAAAGGGCCAAAAAUGUGCUUAGAAUUAGGGUUUUGUAGACGUUUGCUAAGUGCAACAUGUUUACGUUUUAGUAGAAUCGGGUAUUUUUUUUUUUUCAAAAAUAAAAUAAAUGUUUAUUUCUUCAUACAAUUUUUGAGAAGUUUAAGUCGCUUGAGAAACCACUUAGCUUUGAAACACCGACUUCAGUUCUCAAGAAAAGGUUAUUCUUUGAGAAUUAGGUUUUUAAAUUAAGAAAAAUGUAUUGAUUUUUUGAUUUUAUACGAAAGAACACCUUUUUCUGAAACACCAUGAUUUUUUUCAGAUCUUUAGAACUUCAUUUUGGUAUCUAAAAUCGCUUUGGAAGAGAUUUUUCAAAAUCACCUUUUGACAGCUGGCCAAUUGCUUGACAGCUUCGCCCAGUACAAAAUGCGACGAGGGGUGAUUCGACAAAUCGCUCCCAUACAAACGUCUUACUGAUUUUUAAAUAGGUUCCCGGGCUCCAAAAAUCAUGAAAAUUUGGAUUUCGGCUCAGUUUUGCAUGCAGAUUCUGAAUAUAGAAUUAUCUCAACACCGCUAAAGAAACCAAUUAGAGAAGGGGUCAAGAGGGUUUCUAGAGUUUCAUAAGAGCCUUAAAUGAUGGGGUUCCAGGGAGUUUCAGGGGUGUUUGAGGGGCUUCAUGAGAAUUUAAGAUGGCUUACUGUAGUUUUAGAGACUCAUAGCUGAGCUUCAGGGGCAUUCAAGAUGAGUUUCUCGGGGGUGUUUCUGAUUUGUUAUACACAAUUUAUAGCCCUUUGAGAGGCGUUUCAAGAUAUUCAGUGAGCUGCAGAGCCACCCUGGAAAGUUCCGGAGACCCCAUGAAAACCAUUGAAACGGCCCUUAAAUCUCUUGAGUCCUCCUGAGACCACCUGAUACGCCCCUGAGGAAACCUUUUGAAAUCAUCCUAAGAUACUUUUGAACUCCAGAAAAGUCUCCUAAAAACCUCUGGAACGCUCUGAGCCCAUCUUGAACGCCAGUGAUUCUUCCUGAGACCCCAUGAAACGCCCCUAAAAUCCUCAUGAAACGCCCCUGCAACCUUCUCAGACUUACUUACUUUCAGUCCUGGGUACCCAUGGUGGUGCAGAGGUCCGAAUUGAAAGAUUUCCAUCCUGGGCGAUUGCCGGCCAUUGCCUUGACCUUUGGCCAGGUCAAAUUUCUGUUGCUUGAUUUCGUUGUUGAGGCUGCGCCGCAAUGAGCCUCUGGGUCUGCCUCUGCUGCGAUGACCUGCUGGGUUCCAGUCUAACGCUUGCUUGCAGAUUUCGUUUCCGCCCCUGAGUAGUUUGUGGACGACCCACCUCCACUUUCGCCCCCGAAUUCCUGUCGCUAUCGGCUUUUGAUGACAUCGACGAUGGAGCUCCACGUUGGAGAUUGUUACAUCCUGGAGUUCGGGGUGGCCGAGACACAUGAUAGUGGAAUGAUACUCCAGGUGUAAACAAGAACAAAUUAAAACGUAACUUUAUUUACACAAAACUUUACAUGACUAUGACGCGACACGUACACGGUAGGACGACUACAAUACUUCUAAUCCUAAUGUCUGCCUUUGUGCUUCAACCGAUCGCAUAUUGAAAUGCUAUCGGUGAGCAAGCAGAGCGGCGAGAGACGCGAGACUGUUCAGUGGUUCUCAACAGAGAUCCAAUUGUGAGGCCACCAUGCACGAAUUAUGUACCGCAGGCAUCUAUUGAUGCAGCCGUUGAGUGUUCUCCACUGGUACACACCAGGUUUCAUUAACGUAUAGCAGCAAAGAUUUCACGUUCGUGUUGAAAAUUGUCGGAUUUUGGUGCGUCGACUGAUCUGGUUGUUUAUCCAUACAUGUCUUAAACUCGCAAAAGCAGGCAUCGCCUUCUUGAUCCGUUCACCUAUGUCGAUCUUGGUGCUGCCAUCUGCCGCCAUUUGGCUACCAAGAUAUUGGAAGCUUUCAACAUUCUCCACUGAUUGCACAGCUACCGUAAAGCUGCCGCUGAGGAACGAUUGGCAAGAUCAUCGAGCUUGCUCUGCAUAUCAGAUCGCCGUUGAGCAAGGAGAGCAAGGAGAGCAACGUCAUCAGUCAAUUAGAAGUUAUUAUUUAGGUGCUCCAUGGUAAUGGGCUGCUAAAGUAAUCCACGAUUUAGUUCACGGUCAAUCGCACCUACCAGGAUCUCGUUGAUUACGAUGAGGAACAGUAGCGAUGAUAGUCUACAUCCUUGCCUCCAGAGUUGGUAACCAUCUUUUUCGUCA